UACGUAGGGUGCGAGCGUUAAUCGGAAUUACUGGGCGUAAAGUGUGCGCAGGCGGUCGUUCAAGUCGAGUGUGAAAGCCCCCGGCUCAACUGGGGAGGGUCAUUCGAUACUGAUCGACUCGAAGGCAGGAGAGGGAAGUGGAAUUCCCGGUGUAGUGGUGAAAUGCGUAGAUAUCGGGAGGAACACCAGUGGCGAAGGCGACUAGCUGGCCUGUUCUUGACGCUGAGACACGAAAGCCAGGGGAGCGAACGGG
rnacentral:rRNA from 1 species